GAUGAACGCUGGCGGCGUGCCUAAUACAUGCAAGUCGAGCGAACGGACGAGAAGCUUGCUUUUCUGAUGUUAGCGGCGGACGGGUGAGUAACACGUGGAUAACCUACCUAUAAGACUGGGAUAACUUCGGGAAACCGGAGCUAAUACCGGAUAAUAUUUUGAACCGCAUGGUUCAAAAGUGAAAGACGGUCUUGCUGUCACUUAUAGAUGGAUCCGCGCUGCAUUAGCUAGUUGGUAAGGUAACGGCUUACCAAGGCAACGAUGCAUAGCCGACCUGAGAGGGUGAGCAGCCACACUGGAACUGAGACACGGUCCAGACUCCUACGGGAGGCAGCAGUAGGGAAUCUUCCGCAAUGGGCGAAAGCCUGACGGAGCAACGCCGCGUGAGUGAUGAAGGUCUUCGGAUCGUAAAACUCUGUUAUUAGGGAAGAACAUAUGUGUAAGUAACUGUGCACAUCUUGACGGUACCUAAUCAGAAAGCAACGGCUAACUACGUG
rnacentral:rRNA from 1 species